ACAGGGAUUGCCCUAGUAACGGCGAGUGAAGCGGCAACAGCUCAAAUUUGAAAGCUGGCUCCGGCCCGCAUUGUAAUUUGCAGAGGAUGCUUUUGGCGAGGUGCCUUCCGAGUUCCCUGGAACGGGACGCCAUAGAGGGUGAGAGCCCCGUAUGGAUGGACACCAGACCUGUGUAAAGCUCCUUCAACGAGUCGAGUAGUUUGGGAAUGCUGCUCUAAAUGGGAGGUAAAUCUCUUCUAAAGCUAAAUACCGGCCAGAGACCGAUAGCGCACAAGUAGAGUGAUCGAAAGAUGAAAAGCACCUUGAAAAGGGGGUUAAACAGUACGUGAAAUUGUUGAAAGGGAAGCAUUUAUGACCAGACUUGCGCCGGGCAGCUCAUCAGGGGUUCUCCCCUGUGCACUCUGCCCGGCUCAGGCCAGCAUCGGUUCUCGUGGGAGGAUAAGAACAGUGGGAACGUGGCCCCCCUCCGGGGGGGUGUUAUAGCCCAUUGUACGAUACUCUCGUGGGGACCGAGGUUCGCGCUCCGCAAGGAUGCUGGCGUAAUGGUCAUCAAUGACCCGUCUUGAAACACGGACCAAGGAGUCGUCCAUUAGAGCGAGCGUUUGGGUGUAAAACCCGCACGCGUAAUGAAAGUGAACGCAGGUGAGAGCUUCGGCGCAUCAUCGACCGAUCCUGAUGUCUUCGGAUGGAUUUGAGUAAGAGUUUUAACGGACGGACCCGAAAGACAGUGAACUAUGCUUGUAUAGGGUGAAGCCAGAGGAAACUCUGGUGGAGGCUCGCAGCGGUUCUGACGUGCAAAUCGAUCGUCAAAUAUGAGCAUGGGGGCGAAAGACUAAUCGA
rnacentral:rRNA from 1 species